rnacentral:lncRNA from 1 species
AUAUGCAACAUCUUCCCAAUCUAUUGGUCUCUCCGACAUCACCACACUUGAGAUCUCCAACCCCCUCUUCCUUUCUAUUUAUAAAAACUUUAAAAGGGCGGUUGUCGAUGCAUAUGUCUAUAAUAAAUAUUGCAGAUCUCGUUGAGUUGAUCUAGAUAUAGGUUGGCGUCGGAGGGGAAACCACUUUGCCAACAUAAACUGAUGGUUUCCCAAGGACAAGCUUAGUGUCUUAAAAUAAGCAUUGAUCAGAUCGUAACAUGAGCCUUUAAUUAUUUGCAACAUUACCUUGUGUAUUGAGCAUAUAAGGAUAAUUGUAAAAAAAAAAUAUUCCUUCGGGUAUUCUUGUCACUAACCUUUCUAGGAUUGGAGCAAGAAGAUCGGAUGAAUGACAAGCACAAGGUAUGUCC